GACGAACGCUGGCGGCGUGCUUAACACAUGCAAGUCGAGCGGUAAGGCCUUUCGGGGUACACGAGCGGCGAACGGGUGAGUAACACGUGGGUGAUCUGCCCUGCACUUCGGGAUAAGCCUGGGAAACUGGGUCUAAUACCGGAUAUGACCUCAGGUUGCAUGACUUGGGGUGGAAAGAUUUAUCGGUGCAGGAUGGGCCCGCGGCCUAUCAGCUUGUUGGUGGGGUAAUGGCCUACCAAGGCGACGACGGGUAGCCGACCUGAGAGGGUGACCGGCCACACUGGGACUGAGACACGGCCCAGACUCCUACGGGAGGCAGCAGUGGGGAAUAUUGCACAAUGGGCGAAAGCCUGAUGCAGCGACGCCGCGUGAGGGAUGACGGCCUUCGGGUUGUAAACCUCUUUCAGCAGGGACGAAGCGCAAGUGACGUA
rnacentral:rRNA from 1 species